CUGGUAAAUCAAUUAAAGAAUAAACUUGGUGUAAAUGAGUAGAAAGAGCAAAACUAGUUUGUGCAGUUGUUAAUCUUUCAAUUGUUGCAGCUAAUAUCGCUGUUCCUGAACUAACUUCUGUUCCAUGACAAAUUUCAUCACCUAAAAUUAAACUGCUGUUGAUACCAUUGCUU